rnacentral:rRNA from 1 species
GACGAACGCUGGCGGCGUGCCUAACACAUGCAAGUCGAACGGAACUUUUUUAAAAGAUUUCUUCGGAAUGAAUUUGAUUAAGUUUAGUGGCGGACGGGUGAGUAACGCGUGAGUAACCUGCCUCUAAGAGGGGAAUAACAUUCUGAAAAGAAUGCUAAUACCGCAUAAUAUAUAUUUAUCGCAUGGUAGAUAUAUCAAAGAUUUAUCGCUUAGAGAUGGACUCGCGUCCGAUUAGUUAGUUGGUGAGGUAACGGCUCACCAAGACCGCGAUCGGUAGCCGGACUGAGAGGUUGAACGGCCACAUUGGGACUGAGACACGGCCCAGACUCCUACGGGAGGCAGCAGUGGGGGAUAUUGCGCAAUGGGGGAAACCCUGACGCAGCAACGCCGCGUGAAGGAUGAAGGUCUUCGGAUUGUAAACUUCUUUUAUUAAGGACGAAGAAAGUGACGGUAC